rnacentral:piRNA from 1 species
UCCAGGAGUAGUCCUUGAUGUCCUUGUUGCC